rnacentral:rRNA from 1 species
UUGCUUUCUUUGCUGGCGACCGGCGCACGGGUGAGUAACACGUAUCCAACCUGCCCUUUACUCGGGGAUAGCCUUUCGAAAGAAAGAUUAAUACCCGAUGGCAUAAUGAUUCCGCAUGGUUUCAUUAUUAAAGGAUUCCGGUAAAGGAUGGGGAUGCGUUCCAUUAGGUUGUUGGUGAGGUAACGGCUCACCAAGCCUUCGAUGGAUAGGGGUUCUGAGAGGAAGGUCCCCCCACAUUGGAACUGAGACACGGUCCAAACUCCUACGGGAGGCAGCAUG